rnacentral:rRNA from 1 species
UUUGACCUCAAAUCAGGUAGGACUACCCGCUGAACUUAAGCAUAUCAAUAAGCGGAGGAAAAGAAACUAACAAGGAUUCCCCUAGUAACUGCGAGUGAAGCGGGAAAAGCUCAAAUUUGAAAUCUGGCAGUCUUUUUUUUCUUCUUUGGCUGUCCGAGUUGUAAUCUAGAGAAGUGCUUACCUG